UGGCGUAUCUAGACGUAUUCGUACUUCACGCGACUCAUAUCGGUUUAUCGGACUCAUAUUUUCUUAAUUUGCAUUGUAUUUGGUCAUCAAUAGACUAUUUAGUUGUAACAUACAUCUGCCGUGUUUUGUUAAUGAUUAAUUUGUGCGUUUAAUACCCAUAAUUUUUAUAUGUUUGCGUUUGAUGUUUACAUUCCAAAUGCAUAUUGUUGCCAUGAUGUUUCCCGUCAUUAGGAGGUUCCUUCGUACUUGAUUCUUGGUGAAUUCUGCGCCAAAUAUUUACCCGAAGAUCAUCUUCUGGCUACCAGCAAUGGCCUCCGUAUUGUCCAUGUUCCAGCGAGCUUCAUGCACCGCGAGAAAGGAAGAAAUUAAUUUUGAGCGUAUAACACCCACAGAUGUAUACUGCGGUGGAGAAUGCACUUGAAAAUCGCCUACCACGCCAUCAACCAAGGAACAUCUUCCAGCCUGGUGGAGAGCAACUGCGUUUCGACGGGAUGCGAUACCUCUAUAAUUAUCAAGUUUAUCAAGAGUUUACAUUGUAUUGCACAUACGCCUGACGACUUUUACUGUAUUUUAUUAUUGCUUCUCGUGUAAAUGGGACGACCUUGCGUUUUAUUUGUUGUAGUAAUGCGGAUAAGGGUAUUUGGUAGUUGCAGCAUUGUUGUCUAGCUUUAACUCGCAAAAGGGACGUCCCUAGAGUUGAUAAAUUAAAUUCUCCGUUAAAUUGUAUUAAUUUGUUACAGGAAUGGCGCUUUGAUAAAUUCGAAAAUUGGGGUAUUAAGUGGGAUUUUCACAUGCAGAGUGAAAUUGUUAGAGUUGUUUCGGUAUAGCUCGCGAAAGAGGCGGCUUAGAAAUUUCCGCGCGAUCUUUUAAGAUGUCAAAUUAAAGUCUCCGUUGGGUGGUAUUUAUUUGAUGCAGAAAUUCGUACAACCCGGGAAAAAUCGCAUAAACGGGUGAUCAUUUCACCUUUUCUCGGGAAAUCUUUCCAUUUUUUCAGGUUUGCUCGCUACCUUGGCGGCUCAGUAACUUAAGCGCGGCGUCUAGGGAUGCGGAAUAAAAUUCACCAUCGGGUAGUAUUGCAAGUUUAUAUUAUGAUACCAAAAACCAAUACUACAAUUAUCUACCUGCUGUCCCCAACUAGACGUUAACGUCGACUGACAAUUCUCUUUUCUGCUUAGUCGGUCGUGCGCGGUGGUGUCGUGAACAUGUGUUUUGUUUGUGCGUCUAUCUGCAUAGUUAUUAAUCGGGUUUCUUGAGAUGUUAAUGUAAUAGUGGCAUGAAUGUCAGCAAGUAUGGCAUGUCAUUGAAUUGUCGCCCAUGAAAUCCGAAAGUGAGUGGUUUUAUCCCAAACCCCUACUAUAGAAUUCUUGCAGGUCUAAGUUCGGUUGUGCGUUGCGUAGUAGUGUGCACAUGUUUCGUAAGUCGGUCGGUUCUCGUGGCGCAUUUUCACGUUUCUUGGGGUUAUAAAUCGGUAGUUUAAUUAAUAUCGGUCAGCAUGGAUAGAAUUUAGCAUUGAUAAAUGUAUGCGACGUGUAAUUAAUAAGUUAUCGCGCGUGGAAGUAUAAAUUAAGUUGUUCUUUCAAUGUGCGCACGUGUUUUCAGUCGCCCGUCGGUUAUCUCUCGUCGAUACGAAGAAUUCUUACUGGAUUUAUAAACUUUUGUGCAUUUUUUAAAUAAUUCAAUCGUGGAAAUAUACUACGAUUGUUUCCCGUGUGGAAUGAAGUCCGUAAAAUCUUUUCCGUAUCAGUUUGUGAAGUUUAAACAUUCAAGUAAGUGUAACUUGUAACUUAGGUAACUUUUGCAAGUAACGUUGAACACAGGUACUUAAAUUUCAUGUAACAUAAUUAAAUGGACUGUUUUAAUUAUAUGAGUUGGAAUAAAAUUUAAUUUAAUAG